rnacentral:rRNA from 1 species
UGGUAGUCCAUGCCGUAAACGUUGGGCACUAGGUGUGGGGGACAUUCCACGUUUUUCCGCGCCGUAGCUAACGCAUUAAGUGCCCCGCCUGGGGAGUACGGCCGCAAGGCUAAAACUCAAAGGAAUUGACGGGGGCCCGCACAAGCGGCGGAGCAUGCGGAUUAAUUCGAUGCAACGCGAAGAACCUUACCAAGGCUUGACAUGGACCGGACCGCCGCAGAAAUGCGGUUUCCCUUCGGGGCUGGUUUACAGGUGGUGCAUGGUUGUCGUCAGCUCGUGUCGUGAGAUGUUGGGUUAAGUCCCGCAACGAGCGCAACCCUCGUUCUAUGUUGCCAGCGCGUUAUGGCGGGGACUCAUAGGAGACUGCCGGGGUCAACUCGGAGGAAGGUGGGGACGACGUCAAAUCAUCAUGCCCCUUAUGUCUUGGGCUUCACGCAUGCUACAAUGGCCGGUACAAAGGGUUGCGAUACUGUGAGGUGGAGCUAAUCCCAAAAAGCCGGUCUCAGUUCGGAUUGAGGUCUGCAACUCGACCUCAUGAAGUCGGAGUCGCUAGUAAUCGCAGAUCAGCAACGCUGCGGUGAAUACGUU